GGGUGGGUUCCUGUUGUCUCUGCCUCAGUGUUUGAACUGAAUAAAUAUCUCCUACCGUUGGCACUUCUGGUUCUCAGUUUUCAGAUAUAGGCAAGAAUCUACACCAUCAGCUCUCCGGCUCUCACCACCUGCCUUCCUGGGUCUCCAGCUUGCAGAAGGCAGAUCAUAUGACUUCCCAGUCUUCAUAAUCGGAGGAACUGGCCAUGGGCUCCAUCCUGUGGAGUGAUCCACCACUAAUGUGUAGGUGGCAUCAAGAAGUGAGAGUGGGAAGUAUGGGGAAGGGACAAAAAUGAAAACUUCACGGCCUGCCUAUGCUUCAUGUUGGGAUAAAUCAGCACCACUUCUGUAUGCAGAGAAGAGAAUGCUCAGCUAAAACAGAACAGAGAAAAGGCAAGGCUUUUUUAAAGAAGACUCAAGAGGUAGUUAUGCGAAAGACUUGGAAAAAAAGACAAAUACAAAGUUCGUAUUUCCAGUUGAUAAGAAAGGCAGCAAGGUGCUUGGAGGAGGCUCUGAGGAGCUGCUUCUCAGAUUCCAAGGAGAGGGUGUUACCUGGGUGGUACUGGCACCUCUGACAGGAUGCAAUCAAGCCGUUUCUGAGAAUGCUGGAAAAAACUCGGAACUGCAAACAACUGGUGAUGCUGGGGUAAAAUGCAUGGCAAUGGUACCCACUGGGGCAACAAGGAGAGUGAGGAAGAGCAAGUCCUUUUGGGUUCCUCUCAUCUACCCAUCUUCCGCACUGCUUCCUAUGAACAGAGCCUAAUAUGGACCCACUUGGCAAAGGAAAAAUGUGGUGUUUGCAGAGCCUCAGCCUGAAGGAUUCGGAGCAGCAUAUAAAAGGCUGAGUUCAGGGAUGUGGAAGAACAUCAUUUGGCAAAGUCCUGAUACAAUCAGAGGAGAGACUGAAUAAAUGUAGCCUUGGACGAUC